GCCUGGGUGGCUCAGUCAGUUAAGCAUGUGAUUUCAGCUCAGAUGGUGAUCUCACGGUUUGUGAGUUCAAACCCCGCCUUGGGCU
rfam:Felis catus isolate Cinnamon breed Abyssinian chromosome A1, whole genome shotgun sequence.